rnacentral:tmRNA from 2 species
GGGGACGACUGGUUUUGACAGCGAGGUCAGUCAAAUUGUAAGCAUGUCGAGCAUUGAAUAAGUACUCGUAAAAAUCAUAUUCAAAACUUAAACGGCGAGAAUAACUACGCUUUAGCUGCUUAAUCUGAAUUAAUAGUAAGAUUAGCCUAGUCUCACAAGGUGAGAAAGCUUUAUGUCUCCUGACAGCCUUGGUUAACGGCGUUCAAUUUUGAGACAUCGUAAAAGUUAACAUAGGAAUAAAAAGACCAUGGUUUUAUUCCGAAACUAAAAUGGAUAAGUUAAAAGUGGGCAGUUUUUGGUCAGCUUUUAAUCGAAAACCAAUCAAAAACUAAACAUGUAGAAAGCACUUUGGUUGCUUGUUUGGACGAGGGUUCGAGUCCCUCCGUCUCCACUA